UCCCUGGGGGCUCAGAUGGUAGAGAAUCUGCCUGCAAUGCAGGAGACCCAGGUUUGAUCCCUGGGUUGGGAA
rnacentral:tRNA from 1 species